GAUGAAGAACGCAGCGAAAUGCGAUACGUAAUGUGAAUUGCAAAUUCAGUGAAUCAUCGAGUCUUUGAACGCACAUUGCGCCCCCUGGUAUUCCGGGGGGCAUGCCUGUCCGAGCGUCAUUGCUGCCCUCAAGCACGGCUUGUGUGUUGGGCCCCGUCCUCCGAUCCCGGGGGACGGGCCCGAAAGGCAGCGGCGGCACCGCGUCCGGUCCUCGAGCGUAUGGGGCUUUGUCACCCGCUCUGUAGGCCCGGCCGGCGCUUGCCGAUCAACCCAAAUUUUUAUCCAGGUUGACCUCGGAUCAGGUAGGGAUACCCGCUGAACUUAAGCAUAACAAUAAGCGGAGGA
rnacentral:misc_RNA from 1 species